rnacentral:rRNA from 1 species
AAAGUUCCCUUCGGGGAGCGAGUAGAGUGGCGCACGGGUGAGUAACACGUGGGUAAUCUACCUUUGGAUGGGGAAUAACAACCGGAAACGGUUGCUAAUACCGCAUAAUGCAGCGGCACCUAAUGGUGACAGUUGUUAAAGCGGGGGAUCGCAAGACCUCGCGUCUAAAGAGGAGCCCGCGGCGGAUUAGCUAGUUGGUAAGGUAACGGCUUACCAAGGCGAUGAUCCGUAGCCGGCCUGAGAGGGCGGUCGGCCACACUGACACUGACAUACGGGUCAGACUCCUACGGGAGGCAGCAGUCGGGAAUUUUGGGCAAUGGGCGAAAGCCUGACCCAGCAACGCCGCGUGAAGGAUGAAAUCCUUCGGGAUGUAAACUUCGCAAGAACAGGAAGAAUAAGCCGGUGUAAAUACCACCGGCGAUGACGGUACUGUUUGUAAGCUCCGGCUAACUCCGUGCCAGCAGCCGCGGUAAUACGGGGGGAGCAAGCGUUGUUCGGAUUUACUGGGCGUAAAGGGCGCGUAGGCGGCCUCUGCAAGUCGACUGUGAAAUCUCCGGGCUUAACCCGGAAAGGUCAGCCGAUACUGCAGGGCUAGAGUGCAGAAGGGGCAACUGGAAUUCUCGGUGUAGCGGUGAAAUGCGUAGAUAUCGAGAGGAACACCUGCGGCGAAGGCGGGUUGCUGGGCUGACACUGACGCUGACAGCGCGAAAGCUAGGGGAGCGAACGGGAUUAGAUUCCCCGGUAGUCCUAGCCUUAAACGAUGAAUGCUUGGUGUCUGGGGUUUUAUAGUCCCCGGGUGCCGUCGCUAACGCUUUAAGCAUUCCGCCUGGGGAGUACGGUCGCAAGACUG